GCUAGCGUGUGCUGCGAACCAUGCCAGCAAGCCUGCGCAACUUACGCAACUUGCGAGGCAGCCAGCUUUUGAUCCGGCUACCGACCAACGUCCUGGUGCGGUGUCCUUGCCGAUUGCGGGACUGUGUGGCGGCAUGGAUGCCGCUACGUAGCCUCCAUGGACGGAUUUACGGCGUGUCCCGCCA
rnacentral:sRNA from 1 species